UAAGCGGAGGAAAAGAAACUAACUAGGAUGGCCUUAGUAAAGGCGAGUGAAGUGGCCAAAGCCCAAAAUGGUAAUCUUCGUACUUCGUACGACGAGUUGUAAUCUAGAGUGGCAGUGCUUAACGGGCGGUGGCGCAGAAGUGACCUGGAACGGUCUACCAUAGAGGGUGAUAGUCCCGUUCGUGGUGCCGCAGCCCAUCUAGCACGCUUACUAAGAGUCGGGUUCUUUGAUAUUGGAGCCCUAAGCGGGAGAUAAACUUCUUCUAAGGCUAAAUAUAUGUGGGAAACCGAUAGCGAACAAGUACUGUGAAGGAAAGAUGAAAAGCACUUUGGAAAGAGAGUCAAAAGACCUGAAAUCGUUGAGGAGGAAGCGGUAGAGAUGUAUACUUCACUCGAGAGCGGGGCAACUUGUUCUAGGGUGUGAGGCCGGAUGGGGUCGCUUCGGUACAUAGGCUUUCUAGGUAUGACUCCGGUCGCCACCUAGUUCUGUCGGAUCGUUGUGGCCUGAGGGAUCUUGUAUGAUCUGGCCAAAAUGGUCUUUACCGACCCGUCUUGAAACACGGACCAAGGAGUCUAACGUACACGCGAGUAUGCCGGUGGAGAAACCGUCAUGCGUAAUGAAGGUGAUUGAUGCCAACCUCGGGGCAGCAUCGACCGACCAUAAGCUUCCAGCUUAAGGUUUGAGUAUGAGCGUGUCCGCUAGGA
rnacentral:rRNA from 1 species